rnacentral:rRNA from 1 species
GUGCACCAGUCGCGAAAACUUUACAAUGCGGGCAACCGCGAUAAGGGGACCUCGAGUGCUGGGUUACAAACCUGGCUGUUGGGCUGCCUAAAAAGCAGUCUAUAGCAAGGGCCGGGCAAGACCGGUGCCAGCCGCCGCGGUAACACCGGCGGCUCGAGUGGUAACCGCUAUUAUUGGGUCUAAAGGGUCUGUAGCCGGCCGACUAAGUCUCUUGGGAAAUCUGGCAUCUCAAGUGUCAGGCUGCCAGGGGAUACUGGUCGGCUUGGGACCGGGAGAGGUGAGAGGUACCUCGGGGGUAGGGGUGAAAUCUUGUAAUCCUCGAGGGACCACCAGUGGCGAAGGCGUCUCACCAGAACGGAUCCGACGGCAAGGGACGAAAGCUAGGGGCACGAACCGGAUUAGAUACCCUUGUAGUCC